GAUCAUCAGAAUUACCUGGGAAGCUUAAAAUGAAAGAUUCCUGGCCCCUAAUCUCUCCAGGAAUUCAAAUAUGGUAGUUCCAGGGAGUCUGAGCUGCUUGGGAUUUUUUUCAGUGCCACCAGUGAUUCUAAUGAUUGUCUAGCUGUAAGCAGUGGGACUCAAGUUUUGAACAGAGGCAUGAGAAGAAAAUGGCAUUUCCCUGCAGAUGGGCUGUACCAGCUGCAGCUUCAAGUCCAGUGCCUCUUGUGGGAAAGGAGCCACUCCCUUGUCAUUCGCCACAUCUACACUGCAACGCUGGUUUAUGUCAGACUAUCAUCUUUGACUCGGCAUGACAACAGUGCAUAUUUGAAGGCCAUCAAACCAAUGAUAUUAGCCUUGUUUACGGUUUAGCUGGAAAAUAUCUCCCAUGUGGUAUAGUAAGAAGAGCACUGAAUUUGAAUUCUGAAGCUCACCAGAGUGUUCCACUGACUAGUCUCAGGGCUACUGUGAGCACCCAGUGAGAGUGGCCAUGAGAGGUGACACACUGCACAAGUCAGGGCACUGGAAUCAUGGGACAAGAUGGGACCUUAGAGAAUGUCUUGUCUGCCUGCCUCAUUUCAUAGUAGAGAAAAUGAGGCCCUGAGAGGUAAAGUUCUUCACUGAAGGUCAUACGCCAGCUAUUAGUAGUGUAGCCAGCACCAGGGUGUCCUAGCCUUUGCCUCCUUCUGUUUCUCACUGUGCCCUCCUUCCCUACAUUGCUCUCUUUUGGGAUCUGAGGAAUCAUAUUCAAUCACCUUUCAUUUUCAGAAAUGAGGAAACCCAGGCCUCGUUUGUCCAUGGCUACAAAACUAAUUGAUUUAUAUUUGCUUUGGAUGACUAGGAGUUAAAAUAAUGACAGGUGAAAAAUCCAAGAUGGCGUUUGUAUACCGCUUUUAAGAGCAAUCCACAGCAGAUUCAAGUUUUGUGAGGCCUGAAACUCAUGCAAUUUGAAAACUUUUUUCAAGAAAAAUAACACACAAUUGCAAAUGAAAAGUUAGGUUCCAGGCCUUGGAAGCAGUCUGCGCCCAUGAGGGGCCCUCAUUCACUUCACUAUAAAUCCACCUCCAGGAGCAGUAAUAAAGAGAUCCCUACUCAUGUUUGUGCUGCUAGGUUCUUCUGUUUGUAUAAAUAGCAUGUGUCCUGCUAAGUCACCUCCACUCUUAUAAAAUGGAGGCCAUUCUGCCAACACAUGUGUAUUGAACAUCUCUUUAUCUGUAAGGAAUACAGAAGGGAACCAAGAAAGGAAACUAAGCUACCAUCUCUAACUCAGGAGAUGAGGCACAAAGGCAGAAUGGAGGAAUUCCCUCCCUGCUGUGGUCUGGGCCAGGGUGCCUAUGGGAGCCCAGCCUCUAGGAGGUCUCCAGUUUUAAUCUCAGAUAAUCUUCCUCUUGUAGUCAUUCUUCUCCCUCUGCCUAUCAAAUGCAGAUGUUGAGAUGAGUAAACCCUUUGGGGUUUUUGGAUGAAAAACUUUUCAAGAUUUACAUGACAUUUUUGGGGUUGUGCCUACCCAAAAAAGUCUUAUAUCUCACAUCACUGCCUUAGAAAUGAAUUAAAGGUGCAUUUAUCCAUCAGGGCCACAUUCCCCUAAAAUGCACCUAAUAGCACUGAAACAAUUAGAAUAACACAGGGAUCCUGAAUAAUCCAUGCCUCUUGUCAAGAAAUUUUUUUCUAUUUUUAUUUUUGUAAAACAGCUUCCUUAUCCAGUUGUGUUUAGUUUAUUUAAACGAUCACAUCAGCAUUAGGUUCUGGUUUGGGGUUUUUUUUUUUAUUUGUUUGUUUAAGUCUCGUUUCUGACACUUUCUGAAAGAUGCAACAUGGAGAUAGGCCAGGAGGGAAACUAGUUUUAGGGUGUUCUCAUUACAUUCAUUUUAUGUCAUUUUUUAUUAUUAGGUUUACAUUAUUGAAUUCCUGUGGAGAAGAGGAGUCAGAGCUGUGAAUAAGUCAUAAGUCCCUAUAGAUGAGGUCAUACAGCUAAGGUGAUGAGGCCAAUAUUCAAACUCAAGCAUCUGGAUUGCAGGCUGCACUUUUGAUCGCCAUGUCUAGCCUCCUCUAUACACCUGCUCUGACCGAUUUGGUAUUCACCACGCCCAAGAGGCUACUGAACACCUGAAAUAUGGCUGGCUGGAGUUGUGAUGUACUCUAAGUAUAAACUACACACCCUAUUUGGAAGACAGUAUGCAAAAAAGAAUAUAAAAAGUCUCUUUGGCAAUUCUUUAUAUCAAUUACAUGUUGAAAUGAUAAUUUGGAUAUAUUGGGAUUAAAAAUUAUUUAAUUU